AGGGCAACAGGUGAAUGCCUUGGCGCUGAGAGGCGAUGAAAGACGCGGUAAGCUGCGAUAAGCAUCGGGGAGGAGCUAAACAUCCUACGAUCCGAUGAUUUCUGAAUGGGGAAACCCGAUGGGAGUCAUGUCCCAUCAUCCUGAGCUGAAUAUAUAGGCCCAGAGAAGCCAACCCGGGGAAGUGAAACAUCUCAGUACCCGGAGGAAGAGAAAUCAAACGAGACUCCCAAAGUAGCGGCGAGCGAAAUGGGAAGAGCCCAAACCGAGUGGUUUCGACCAUUCGGGGUUGUAGGGCCGGCAUACGCGAUUCUGGAGUAGGCAGAGGAAGUGAGCUGGAAAGCUCCGCCACAGCGGGUGAUAGCCCCGUACUCGAAACCGAAAAGGACGCAGCCGGUACCUGAGUACUGCGAGGCACGUGGAACCUCGUGGGAAUCUAGGGGGACCAUCCUCUAAGGCUAAGUACUCCUCAGCGACCGAUAGUGAACUAGUACCGUGAGGGAAAGGUGAAAAGAACCCCUGUUAGGGGAGUGAAAUAGAAUCUGAAACCUGUUGCCUACAAGCUGCGAGAGCUACUUCGGUAGUGAUCGCGUGCCUUUUGUAUAAUGAGUCAGCGAGUUACUCUACCGUGCGAGGUUAAGCGAAAGCGUAGCCGUAGUGAAAGCGAGGCUUAAUAGGCCGACUAGUACGUUGGAGUAGACCCGAAACCGGGUGAUCUAUCCAUGAGCAGGUUGAAGCAAGGGUAAAGCCUUGUGGAGGACCGAACCGUCAACGGCUGAAAACGUUCCGGAUGACUUGUGGAUAGGGGUGAAAGGUCAAUCAAACCCGGUGAUAGCUGGUUCUCCCCGAAAUAUAUUGAGGUAUAGCCUCGGGAAUUGAUUAGCGGAGGUAAAGCACUGACAGAGCUAGGGGUCCUACCAGAUUACCAAACUCUAUCAAACUCAGAAUGCCGCUUAAUUGUAUCCCGGGAGUCAGACGGCGGGUGCGAAGGUUCGUCGUCAAAAGGGAAACAGCCCAGACCAACAGCUAAGGUCUCCAAAUCCAUGCUCAGUGGUGAAGGUAGUGGAACCGUUUAGACAGCCAGGACGUUGGCUUAGAAGCAGCCAUCGUUUAAAGAAAGCGUAAUAGCUCACUGGUCUAAUGGCUCUGCGCCGAAAAUGUAACGGGGCUAAGCAUGGUACCGAAGCUUUGGCAAUCUCCUUUGGAGAUUGGGUAGGGGAGCGUUCGCUGCGGGCUGAAGGUGUGCCGGAAGGCAUGCUGGACUGCAGUGAAGUGAUUAUGCUGACAUGAGUAACGAUAAAAUAUGUGAAAAACAUAUUCGCCGAAAACCCGAGGUUUCCUGGGUAAAGGUAAUCUUCCCAGGGUUAGUCGGAUCCUAAGGUGAGGGUGAAAGCCGUAACCGAUGGAAAACAGGUUAAUAUUCCUGUACUUGUUGUGUAGCGCGAUGGAGGGACGCAGGAAGAUAGGCGGGCCGGGUGUUGGAUAUCCCGGUGCAAGCGUGUAGGAAUAUCCGGUAGGCAAAUCCGCCGGACGAAUCUGAGACGCGAGUCCGUGGGCGCAAGCCCUGAAGCCGUUGAGUCUAUGCUGCCUAGAAAAGCUCCUAAGUUUAUCCACAGCAAUCCGUACCGCAAACCAACUCAGGUGGGUGGGAUGAACAAUCCAAGGCGCUCGAGAGAACUCUGGCCAAGGAACUCGGCAAAAUAACCCCGUAACUUCGGAAGAAGGGGUGCUCUCUAGGGUGACAUGUUUAACAUAUGAAGCCCCGGGGAGCCGCAGUGAAUUGGUGGUGGCGACUGUUUACUAAAAACAUAGGUCUGUGCGAAGUCCUAAAGACGACGUAUACGGACUGACGCCUGCCCGGUGCUGGAAGGUUAAAAGGAGGGGUCAGCGCAAGCAAAGCUCCGAAUUGAAGCCCCAGUAAACGGCGGCCGUAACUAUAACGGUCCUAAGGUAGCGAAAUUCCUUGUCGGGUAAGUUCCGACCUGCACGAAUGGCGUAACGAUCUCCACACUGUCUCGGCCAGAGACUCGGUGAAAUUGCAGUCGCGGUGAAAAUUCCGUGUACCCGCAGAAAGACGGAAAGACCCUGUGCACCUUUACUAUAGCUUGACAUUGGAUUUUGGGCCUGCAUGUGUAGGAUAGGUGGGAGGCUGUGAACCCUGUACGCCAGUAUGGGGGGAGCCAUCCUUGAAAUACCACCCUUGCAUGUUUAAGAUCCUAACUUCUU
rnacentral:rRNA from 1 species